UAAAUGCAGAUUCUGGAGUUCUCAUCUACCCCAAUUUUAAAAGUUUGGGGUGGGGCCCAGGAAUCUGCAUUUUAGCAAGUCCUGUCAAUGAUUCUGAU
rnacentral:miRNA from 14 species